GGAAGCUGCCAUUCAUUCUGACAUAAGUAGGUGCUUUGUCUGAUAAAUGCAGCUUGUGUAAUUUAUCAAUGACGGAGAAGGUAGAUAGCAGUAUGCACACUUGGGGCUGCAUUUGAAGGAGAGCAACAUCCCUUUGUUUUCACAGAGGAGAACAAGCACGAGUUGAGAUUGUGGUGCUUCUUGAAGUCUCAUCCAGAUCGGAAACCUGCUGCUCUGUCCACAUUCCAUCCACCAAAGCAACCCAUAUGGCCAUGUCCGACAUCAGAUGGGGAAAGGCAAUUCUCUAGCCUGAGGAGCUGCAAAGCCACAUGGCAAAGGAUAAGUGUGUACAAAAUAAAUGCAGGGAGGGCAGGAGGCAUUGGGGACAAUGAUCCAA